AUACGGAGGAUCCGAGCGUUAUCCGGAUUUAUUGGGUUUAAAGGGUGCGCAGGCGGCCAUUUAAGUCAGCGGUUAAAUCGUGGGGCUCAACCCCAUUCUGCCGUUGAUACUGGGUGGCUUGAUUGCGGUCGAGGUUGGCGGAAUUCGUUGUGUAGCGGUGAAAUGCAUAGAUAUGACGAAGAACAACGAUUGCGUAGGCAGCUGACCAGACCGCAAAUGACGCUCAUGCACGAGAGUGCGGGGAACGAACAGGAUUAGAUACCCUGGUAGUCCGCACAGUAAACGAUGAAUACUUGUUUUCGGCGAUAUAAUGUCGGAGGCAAAGCGAAAGCGAUAAGUAUUCCACCUGGGGAGUACGCCGGCAACGGUGAAACUCAAAGGAAUUGACGGGG
rnacentral:rRNA from 1 species